rnacentral:rRNA from 1 species
UACGAAGGGGGCUAGCGUUGCUCGGAAUCACUGGGCGUAAAGGGUGCGUAGGCGGGUCUUUUAAGUCAGGGGUGAAAUCCUGGAGCUCAACUCCAGAACUGCCUUUGAUACUGAGGAUCUUGAGUUCGGGAGAGGUGAGUGGAACUGCGAGUGUAGGAGGUGAAAUUCGUAGAUAUUCGCAAGAACACCAGUGGCGAAGGCGGCUCACUGGCCCGAUACUGACGCUGAGGCACGAAAGCGUGGGGAGCAAACAGGG